UAACUUUAUAAUCCAUUCCUCUCCACCUUUAUCUAGCACAUUUUCUGAAAUAGAAAAGUAUUAGCUUUGCCCUUAAGGAGCUAGAUCUGUAAUGCUUCAGUUUGUUGAAUUAAUGACUAUAAAUAUAAGGCAGGCAAGAACAACUUGCGAAGAUGCUCUGACCCAAAGGUAAGGAAGCUGAAGUUCACGCAUAUUAGAAGCAUAGAAUAGGAUCUGAAAUUUCCUGGAAAGUUGUCACCUCCAUUGAUAAUCCACUAAUGAGCCCAGGUCAUUUUUUAUGGUUCUGUCCAGCUUCAGGAUCUCACAACUCUGAUUAAGCAAUGCAGUUGCUUAGAAUGGAGGGGAAUAUUUGAUCAUAACACUGGUCAAGCAUGAACAUCCCCACACUGGCCAACUGGAAAUGUGUGAGUGCUCACUAAAGAAAAGGCUUUAACUCUUUAACUCUUUCUAACCCCACAUCAGAUUUCUCAGCAGAUCCUCACAUCUCUUUCUUGUAAAUAUACCCAGAACUGGGCCAUAUUUUCACCUUUUCUCCUGCAAACACUGAUCAGUGUCUCCAUUACCUUUUUCUGGAAUUAUCACAAUAACCUUCUAACUGGACUCCCUUCAUCCCUGGCAUCCCCCUAAAGACAUACACACAUACAUACACACAUACAUACAUACACACACAAACACACAGAGACCCACACACAGACAUACACACACAUAAUUGGUAUUAGGGCAGACAAACUGAUUUUAUGAAAAUACAGUCUCUAUUUGAAAUCUUCCAAUAGCUCUGCACCUCACUCAGAAUAAAAGUCAAUGUCAUUAUCAUGAUCACAGGCCCCCCAUUACUUCAAGAAGCUCAUAUCCUGUUACGCUUUCUCAUGCUCAUUCUGCUGUAGUCAGAACAAUGGCAAGCUGUCUGUUUAUUGAACAUACUAGGUGAGUUCCUAUCUCAAGGCAUUUGUACUGUGGUUUCCUCUGUCUGGAAUGUUCUUUCCCAGAUAUCUGCAUGGGUCACUUCUUCAGUUCUUUCAGACCUUUUAUUCUGCCAUCACCAUCUCAGUGAAGUCUUCCUUGUCCAUCUUAUCUAAAAUUUUAAUUCUAAGAUUUAACCUAAGAAUACUUUUUAUUCCCUUUUUGAGUUCUAUUUUUUAUUCUUUUUGAGACAGUGUCACUCUGUCGCCCAGGCUGGAGCGCAGUGGCAUGAUCUUGGCUCACUGCAAGCUCCACCUCCUGGGUUCACGCCAUUCUCCUGCCUUAGCCUCCCGUUUUUGUGCUCUAUUUUACAUCUUCAGUACCUAACAUUAUUUAUUCUAGUAUAUAUUUUACUUAUGUAUCUUAUUUACUGUCUAUCUCAUCAACUAGACUAAUGAAAGCUCUAUCAGGAUAGAACAGUGCCCAGUUCCAGGUGCUCAGGAAUUACUGGAAUUGAAAAUUAUCUAUUAUAUGAUUAUCACCUCACCAUUUAACCUUAGAAUUUCUUAGUUUGUGUUGUGAGUGUGAUAAAAUAGGAAUUUUCUUUCCAAGAACUCAAAAAAGUAGAAUGGAUCACUGAAAGCUUGGGAAGAUUGGAUUUUGUAAUCAAGCCUGUUCAUGUCAUAAACCUCUGACUUCAGCAAUCAGGGUGCAAAUGCUGUAAUAAACUCUAACAUCAUUUUAGUCCAGUCUUAUAUUAAAAAAAAAAUGAGGCUCAGAGCAAAGAAGUCACUUGCUAAAGAUCACCUAAAGUGAGUGGCAUUUGCUGAUGUAGAACUUGAUCUCCUCAAUUGCAGUGAGGUGCUCUGUCAACUAAGCCUUUCUUAGUCUUUUGUUUAUAAGCUAAUAUUUUUGGUC
rnacentral:lncRNA from 1 species